GGAAGAAACAACCCAACUCUUGUAAAUAUUGAACCAUUGUGUUUGGCAAGAGCAAAACCAACUUGUUCAAAGAAAAUGAAGAUGGAGAAGGUAAGUUUUCAUAGUAUUCGAACGUGGAAAAAUUCCAGCUCUCUCCUAAGGUAUUCACAAAUCAAUGGCUUUGCCAUGUCCCUGCAACAAAAGGUGAGAGUGAGAUUCCCCAAGUUGCUUGAUGUCAAGAACCCCACGCAAAAGACUGAAAAGGGUGGCCCCAAGGGCAAAAACAAAAUGAUCAAAUGGGCCAAACCUGCACAACUUCUGCCAAAGGAAAUUGGUUCCAUUUUCAGUAAUGGUUCCCGCAACAAGAAACCACUUCAAAACUCCAAAAAUGACAUAAACGAUAAUGCUGACGCUUUGAAUGACUGCACAGAAGAAGAACGAGAUGCGCUUAUUGUCUCCAGGAAAAAAGGCAGCAAGUUUAAGUCUUUGUUGGAAGAUUCAGUAGAGGGAUUAACGUUGAGUAGAUCAUGUUCAUUCAAGAAGAUAAUGAGAAUCAUAGAUACAAAGGGAAAGCAAAUGAAGAAGAAAGAUGAAGCAACCUCAGAAACGUCAACUGGCACAAGAAAGCAACCGCGGAUUUUGUUCCGAAAUCUUUCAGGGCUCAAGUUCAGGUUCAGGACGAGGGUUAGAUUUCG
rnacentral:lncRNA from 1 species